rnacentral:rRNA from 1 species
GUGAGGAAUUUUCCGCAAUGGGCGAAAGCCUGACGGAGCAAUGCCGCGUGAAGGAUGAAGGCCUAUGGGUUGUAAACUUCUUUUCUCAGAAAAGAAUUAUGACGGUAUCUGAGGAAUAAGCAUCGGCUAACUCUGUGCCAGCAGCCGCGGUAAGACAGAGGAUGCAAGCGUUAUCCGGAAUGAUUGGGCGUAAAGCGUCUGUAGGUUGUUUAAAAAGUAUUCUGUCAAAGAUUAGGGCUUAACCCUAGAUAGGCAGAAUAAACUUUUAAGCUAGAGACUGGUAGAGGCAGAGGGAAUUCCCGGUGGAGCGGUGAAAUGCGUAGAUAUCGGGAGGAACAACAAAGGCGAAGGCACUCUGCUGGGCCAAUACUAACACUGAGGGACGAAAGCGAGGGGAGCAAAUGGGAUUAGAAACCCCUGUAGUCC